GGGACGCCGUGGUUGAUCACCUGGAAGAACCCCACCGUGCUCGCCGCCUGCCGAACCUGCUCCACCACGGCGGCGCGCGACCCCUGCACGGCGGCCAGGUCCACCGUGGGAAUCACCGGCGCAGAUUCGGAUUCGAACCCGCGCUUCAGCUCCGCUAAGGUUUCGGGCGGGUGAACGAAGAUAGCGGGGAUAGCCUUGAUUCCCGAAUCGACCAAACCUUUGACUCCGACCUUGGUUUCUUCGAACUCCUUCACCGCUUUGGCGCGGUUGUACGGCGCGGCGGCGCUGACAGCGGUUGCCACCGGUGAUGACAUUGGGAAGAGGCGAGAAUAGGAAUCGUUGUUUGAGUGUAGAGAGUUCAAAUUCAGUGUAAAGUGAAUUGAAAACUAUAAAGUGCACUUUUCUGAUUCGGCACAAAAAAUAAAUAACAAAAAUAUAUUACUCAAGAAACUUCACUAAUUCUAGUCAUUUUUUUAUUCAACAGGUUUUUUUUUCUUAUAUAAAAGCGUUACAUAUUCAUUUUGAAAUAAUAUGUCAAGUAACCAUAAUUAUUUGUUAUUACAUAAAAAAUAUAUAUUAUUAAAAAAAUAUAAAAAUAUAAAAUGAUUAGAACAAAAUCUUUAUAUUAAUAAAAAUAAUAUAUAAAUAAAUUAACAUAUUCAUAAAAAAUUCUAAAAUCAAAUUAAAAUUAAAUACAUAUUUUUUCCUUAAUUUAUCGAAAACACUCACUUUUAGAACAAAUAAUAUUUUAAAUAUAAUAAUUAAUUUUAAUAAUACUAUAUUUCUUCAUAAGAAUAUUCAAAUUAUAGUGAUGUUAUCAGUUACCUAACACUAAAAUAAUAUAAAUUUGGCCUUAUAGGAUGUUUUUAGAAUGUUGAAUUUUUACUAGAAAAUAAAAUAAAAUAAAAUUUAUUUGAAACACUAAAAUAAAAUAACACUAAAACAUAAUAUCUUACUAGAAAAUAAAAUUCUAGUUCUGUAAUGUGAGUGAUAAGAAUAUUUGAACUCAACCAGUCAAAGAUAUUGACUUUAUAUCUAUCAAAUUUAUCGUACUUAAAUCUACUAAAAUAUAAUUUCAUAAUUUAUUUAUAUAUACUAAUUCAUAGAAUAAUUUGUUCGUGUUUUUAUUAUGUAUUAAUUAAAGGUUUCGAUUUUUUUGUAUUUUAAACUUUAAUUCUUUAAAUUUUAAUCAAUAUUAUAAUUAGUAAAUAAAAUAAUAUGUUAGUCCACUUUGUUAGAAACUAGGGAAAUAAAAGGCGUGCCUAUAUGUUUAUAUUUUUUUAUGAUAAUAAUAAAAGAUAAUUAAUAUAAUUAUUGUUAUUACAAUGAAAUGUAAUUAUCCUAAAAAAGUUAGCUAAUGAAUAUAAAAACAGAGAGAAUAAAUUAAUAAAAAUAGUGUAUAAAAAAUAGUCAUGAAAACUAAUUCAUAGCUAAUAUUAAAAUGACGAUCAAUGAAAAUAAGAUUUUUUAUAAGUCAAGAUUUUUAGCUUUAUUGACAAUGAUUAGUUUCAAAUUAAUAUUAUUAAAAAUUAUUUAUCCAUAGAUGUUUGAUGUUAAUGGGGUUUUAUUUAGAUGUUAGCCAAAAGACUUCUAUUGAAAUUUUUAGUAGCUAUUUUUCAUCUGCUAAAAUUAUUUUAUGAACAAUAUUUCUAAUAUUAUUUGACGAUAAUUUUUGUAUUUAAAUUUUUUAUUUAGUAAUAAUUAAAAUACUCAAUUCAAAAAGUAAUAAAUUUGAAUUUUCUUGUUCAAACAAAAUAUUUGAAUAUUAAAAAUUAAAAAUAAAAGUAAGUGAAAUGGAAUAUAUUUAAACUUUUUAAAAAAUAUAGAAUUUUGACCAUAGAAUAAAAAAAUGUAUUAACAAGGGAAGAAGGGGUUGGUGAAGGCAUGGAAAGGUUAGAGUAUAUUCAACUUUCUGAAUAUGACUUUUAAACAAUUUUAUUCAAUCAAUGCUACAAUAUACAUUAUUGAAUAUUUGAGGUGCCUUGAAUUUUGGACUGUUUCUUCUUCUACCAUCAUAGUUUCUUCCUACCUUCAAUCUCAUAAUUCUUAAAAUAUCAAAAAUAUAUUUUAUUCUAUUAAUGUUUUUUUUUUAAAUAAUAUCAAUCUCAUUUUUUAAAAUAUCAAAAAUAUUUUCUAUUUUAUUAAUUUUUUUAAUUUCUAAAUAAUAAUUUGAAAAAACUUUGAAUUAUAGAAUUUAUAAAAUAACUUGUGGAGGUAUUUUUCGUGGAGUAUGGGAGAAUUUAUUGGAGCUUUACUGAGUUUCUUGAAGUUCAAACUGCUCUUCCUGUUGUGUUUUAUGGGGUUAUACAUGCUAUGGAGGAAGCUUAAAAGAUGUGGCUUACUUUUGUUUAGCUAGAAUGUGAUUCUACUUUGAUUUAAUCGAUGAAAUAUUUGUCUUAAUUAUUGUGAAAAAAUUAGAUUUAGGUUUACUCAUAUUUUUCGCGAAGGGAAUGCGUAGGCUGAUAAGUUAACUAAUUUAGAAUUUAUUCAUAGAAAAUCUUUUCAUUGUUAUAAUAAGCUACUAUCUAGUAUGUUUUUAAAAUUCUUUAUAAAUAAAUAUAGUUUACAUAUGUAUCGUUUUUGUUAAUAUAUAGAUUUUAGUUUAGUCACCCUAUAUUUUUUUAUUUUUUUUUAAUAAUAUUUUUUUUUAUGUGAUGGCAAAUGAUUGUUAUUACUUGAGAUGUCAACAUAACUAAGAUGGAUGCCUAACAUAAAAACUUUUAUUUAAAAAAAAAAUCUUCAUAAUUUUAUAAACUAAAAUGUGUUUUUUUAAAAAAAUAUUUCAAAUUAUUAAAUUUGAAAGGUAUUUCUAAAUCAAAGAAUAAAUUUUGAAUUCCAUAAUCUUGAAUUUAUUUUAUUUUAGAAAAAAUAUAUUCUGAAUUGUAGAAUCCAUAACUACAAUCCAGAUAUAUAAAUUAAAAAAAAAUACAUUCAAAAAUUAUAAAAUCUAUAAAUUAUUUUUAGAUUUGAAAAUAUAUUUUAAAUUCUUUAAUUCAUAAUAUAUUUUUUAAAGAAUACAAUAUUUUUGGAUUACUUAUAUUCCAGACUAAAUAAGAAAAAUUACAUUUUAAAUUGUAAAAUUUAGAAAAUACAUUCCAAAUUUUUUAAAAAUAAAAUAAUAUUUUCGUCUGAAAUAUAACAAUGUUAGAAGAAGCUAUAGAGAUUAGAAGAAGCUAUGAAGGUUUAAGAAGAAAGAGUCUCACCAUGUUUCAUGAAAAUUAUUAACUCAAUAAAAGAAGAGAAAGUUAUAAAGAUGUUUUAUAUUUGACCACCAGUCUCCACACAUUAAAGAUGAAAAAAUUAAUUUUCUCACCCGAAAGAUAUUUAUAAUCUCUUAUUAAAAAAUUAUAAAUUAAUUUAUACAACAAUUAAUUUAAAUUUUUAAAAAAUAUUCUCCCAAAAAUAUUUAUACAAAAUUUUGUCUAAAAAAAUUCUAAGUGUAUAGAGAUUCAUCAUUUUCAAGUACUUUUUUAAGUAUUUGAAUGUUCACUCUUACCCAAAAUAUGUAAAAAGAAGUUUCAAUAUAUUCUAAAUAGUACAUAAGAAAAUAGUUACAACCACAUCAUUGUUUUUUCUAGAACCUUCUGAAACAUUCUAAGGCUUUCCAAAAUAUUAAAACAUUCUACAACCUCAUUAAAGUUUCUAAUUUAUACCUUAAAUAAUUUUAAUCUAUAGAAAAGCGCUUUCUUGUCUUGUAAAAGUUCUAAAAGAAGUUUUAUAAAUUAACUAGUUUGUUACCAACACUGAAAAAUAUACAUGCAAUAUAGGAUGACACAAUGUUUAGUUAGAGAUCCAAUACCAAUUUAAGUCAUAAUAAGAAUGAAAAAGUUAGACAUCAAAUAAAAAAAACAUAAAUUCUUAGAAAAAUUUUAUGAAUUGAUAUAAUCUACUUAUGUAUCGUUUUUGUUAACAUAUGAGUUUUGGUCUAAUUUUAUUUUUUUUUAAUAAUAUUUUUUUCAUACGAUAACAAAUGAUUAUUGUCACUUGAGGUGUCAGCAUAGCUGAAAUGUCAAAUUGCAUAAUAAUGCCUAAAAUAAAAACUUUUAUUUAAAAAAAAAUCAUAAAUUCAUUUGAGUUGAAAAAUGUCUAAUAUGUGUUACUAAAACUAGAGUAUAUCAUAAGUGAGGGAGGAACCAUUAUUGUUUCAAUUCAUCAACCACCUUUAACCUUUUAUUCACAAUAUAAACUAAUUAGUUUAAAAUAUCAUCAUAUCACAUCAACCUUUUUAAAUCAAUACUUAAAAAGUUUUUAACAUAUACAAUCAGAAACUAUAGGUGCUAAGUGUGUGUUCAUCACUGCCUGAAGAAAUUUGUGAGUGAUUUACCAUCCAACUCUUUCUUGAAGAAUCUGGUCAUAAAUUCAUGGAAAGUGAAGUUCCUGUAAAGGGCUGGUUUCUCGGUUGAUGUUAGCUCUGGCAAUGGUCCAAAGAGUUUCUCCCUGUCACUUGGAUUGAGGAAAACAGCAACUGAGACUCUAGCCUCAUUACAAUGAUUAGCUAACACUCGAUGAUGAGCACUCUUAUAUGCUUCGUUAGAAAUUAUCUGAAACACAAAAUAAUGAAUAUGAAAGAUCAGAAAAAGGGAUGUCAUAAAACAAUUCCUACAUAUAUAACCUGGUAGACCUUCAAAUUUAACCAAAGUUUUUCUUGAAGUUAUAAAUGGUUCAAAUAAUAUGUUUACAAAAUCAUAAAAGUCACGUUGAUGCUAAGUUAACAAAUUGAUUUCAUAACUUUGCUUCAAAAUCUUAAUUCUAAUUAAUUUAAUUCCGUUCUUUUUGUUUGUCAAAUGCAUUCUCUUCAAAAUUAAGACCACUAAUAAUCUAUUAUUUUCAUUCUAUUAAACCAACUAACCACCAACUUCACCAACUUGACCAUAACAUUUUAAAGUAAAUAUUUUAGAUAAAUAAUGAUGAAAGGAUUAAAAAUAAUGUAAUUCUCAAGUGUUUUAAGAUGUUUCAAAUUAUUGACCCACAUGAAACAUCCAUCAUCAUAAGCACAAAAAUUAAGUGAAACAAGGCUUUAUUUAAUUAAACAAUUAUUAUUAUAUAUGAACAAAAUAAAAUAAAAUAUGAACCUGAAGGAAAUCUCCAAUGUUAAUAACCAAAGCUUGAGGCUGAGGCUUCACAUGGAUCCAACCAUCUGGAGUCUCAACCUGCAAGCCCCCAAUAUGGUCCUGCAGCAACACCGUAAGAGCCCCUGGAUCAGUAUGUGAAUUGAGACCCACCGUUAGAUCAGGCUGAGGGCAAAACGGGUAAUAGUGCCCCACCAUACCUCUUCCUUCCCCCAAACCCAUCUCCCUGAACCUCUCCGCACCCAAUCCCAGCCCCUCACUCAGCAACUCAAACAACACACUCGAAACACGCACCACCUCCUUAUUCCACUCCACCACCUCUUCUCUGCACAUCUCGGGAAUCUCCCUGGGAUCAACGGCUGUGGGCCCCAUUCUUAUCUGCAAAAUCAAAAUUAAAACUCAUAUUUAUUUUAUGAUUUCAUACAAUUUAUUUAUUUUCAAUGCCGAUUAAGUUUAAAUGUUUUCCAAAAAUUUAUAUUAUUUAAAGUUAAAAAAAUAGUCUGUGUGCCUUUUUAGACAGAAAUUUUAAAUAAUAAACACCAAAUAUUAAUUAGUACUUUCGAGGCUUGUAAAAAGGUUAAAUUUUAGUUUUAGUUGUUAUUUUAUUUUUUAUACGUGAUUUCGGUAACUAAAUAUUAAAGAGACUAAAUCACAAAUAAAAAAUUAAAAAAUAAAUUGCAAUUUAGCCUAUCGAAAAUUGCAUGAAUCUAAAAUUUUGUUUUAUAAACUAUAACCUAAUUUCUCUUGUUUCAAAAAUUAAUUAUUUAAAUUAAAAUUAUUAAUUAAAUAUACAUUUAAUCUUUCCUCAACAUGAUUUAUUUUAUGAAUAAAAGAACAUAAUUAAAACUUGAACCAAGUGGUCCCAGGAACACGAGUCCUAAUGCGUCAACCGAUUUAAAUUAUUUUUAAUUACAAAUUUUGUAUUACUUAAUCUUUGGUGAAGAUUAAUGAAUACAGAAUACCAAUAUAUUAUUAACUAAUAAAAAAUAGUUUUGAUAUAAUAUUUAAGAUAAUUAUUACUAAAUAUCGUAGAUUUAUUAUUUAUGGUGAAUAGUGAUUAGAAGGCGUUUCCCGUUUUUGACGCUAUGCUGAAAGUCACCGAGAAAUUAAAAUUCUUCAUAUAUUUCAGUUUUUAGAAGUAAUAAAAAAUAUUAAUCUUACACAAAAAAAAUUAAUUCACUUUAAAUUUACAAAAAUAAAAUAAAAAUCUCUUUCAUAAUAAUUAAUUGUAUAUUAAUAUUAAUUUCAAGUAUUAAUAGAAUUAAAAUUUCGUUAGUUACUCGUAUUGUGUCACGCCAGCUGGCAGCUUUUGAUUGGAAGAGAUCCACGUUGGAAAUGUACGAUACGCCCUUCCCCAUCUCUCUACGGUACACAGGCACUCUGUCCUCCGCGGGCUGCUCGUGGAACGCCUUCACCGCCGCCAGAGUUCGCCGGAGUACCUGCUCCGGGACGCCGUGGUUGAUCACCUGGAAGAACCCCACCGUGCUCGCCGCCUGCCGAACCCGCUCCACCACGGCGGCGCGCGACCCCUGCACGGCGGCCAGGUCAACCGUGGGAAUCUCCGGCGCAGAUUCGGAUUCGAACCCGCGCUUCAGCUCCGCUAAGGUUUUGGGCGGGUGAACGAAGAUAGGGGGGAUGGCCUUGAUCCCAGAAUCGACCAAACCUUUGACUCCGACCUUGGUUUCUUCGAACUCCUUCACCGCUUUCGCGCGGUUGUACGGCGCGGCGGCGCUGACAGCGGUGGCCACCGGCGAUGACAUUGGGAAGAGGCGAGAAUAGGAAUCGUUGUUUGAGUGUAGAAAGUUCAAAUUCAGUGCAAAGUGAAUUGAAAACUAUAAAGUGCAGUUUUCUGAUUUGGCACAAAAAUUAAAUAACAAAAAUAUAUUAGUCAAGAAACUUCACUAAUUCUAGUCAUUUUUUUAUUCAACAGGUUUUUUUUCUUAUUAAAAUAUAUCAAGUAACCAUAAUUAUUUAUUAUUACAUAAAAAAUAUAUUAUUAAAAAAUAUAUAUAUAAAAAUAAAAAAUAUGAAAUGAUUAGAUCAAAAUCUUUAUAUUAAAUAAAAUAAUAUAUAAAUAAAUUAUACAUAUUUAUAAAAAAUCUUAAAUCAGAUUAAAGGUUAAUAAGAAUUUAAAUAUAUAUUUUUCUUUAAUUUAUCGAACAACACUAACCUUUAAAACAAAUAAUAUUUCAAAUGUAAUAAUUAAUUUUAAUAAUACUAUAUUUCUUCAGAAGAAUAUUCAAAUUACAGUGAUGUUAUCAGUUACCUAACACUAAAAUAAUAUAAAUUUGGCCUUAUAGGAUGUUUUUAGAAUGUUGAAUUUUUUAUAAGGUGAGAAAGAAAAUACCAAUAGAAAAAUAAUUUUUAUAAUAGAGUUUAUAUGAAAUUAAGCUAAAAGCACUUUUAUAAGUAUAUCCAUUAUGAACUUCUCGAAGUAAGAAUAUUAUUAAUAGAGUUUAAUAUUUAACAAUUUAACUAUAUCAUGUAUAACUAAUAAUAAGUUGAUUUUUUUACUUAACCUUAACCUUAUUUAUGGAGGUUGAAAGCUCUAUAAAUAUAAAUACUUAUCAAAGAAAACAUAAUAUCUUACUAGAAAAUAAAAUUGUAGUUCUGUAACGUGAGUGAUAAAAAUAUUUGAAUUCAACCAGUUAAAGAUAUUGACUUUAUAUCUAUCAAAUUUAUCGUACUUAAAUCUACUAAACUAUAAUUUCAUAAUUUAUUUAUAUAUACUAAUUCAUAGAAUAAUUUGUUCAUGUUUUUAUUAUGUAUUAAUUAAAGGUUUCAAUUUUUUUGUAUUUUAAAAUUUAAUUCUUUAAAUUUUAAUCAAUAUUAUAAUUAGUAAAUAAAAUAAUAAGUUAGUCCACUUUGUUAGAAACUAGGGAAAUAAAAGGCGUGCCUAUAUGUUUAUUUUUUUAUGAUAAUAAAAGAUAAUUAAUAUAAUUAUUGUUAUUACAAUGAAAUGUAAUUAUCCUAAAAAAGUUAACUAAUGAAUAUAAAAACAGAGAGAAUAAAUUAAUAAAAAUAGUGUAUAAAAAAUAGUCAUGAAAACUAAUUCAUAGCUAAUAUUAAAAUGACGAUCAAUGAAAAUAAGAUUUUUUUAUAGUCAAUGUAAGUCAAGAUUUUUAGCUUUAUUGACAAGGAUUAGUUUCAAAUUAAUAUUAUUAAAAUGAUUUAUCAUCAAAUCAAGUUAUAACUAUUUAUUCAUAGAUGUUUGAUAUUUAGUGGGGUUUUAUUUAGAUGUUAGCCAAAAAAACUUCUAUUGAAAUUUUUAGUAGCUAUUUUUAAUCUGCUAGAAUUAUUUUAUGAACAAUAUUUCUAAUAUUAUUUGACGAUAAUUUUUGUAUUUAAUAUUUUUUAUUAAGUAAUAAUUAAAAUACUCAAUUCAAAAAAAUAAUAAACUUGAAUUUUCUAUUUGGGUGAUAGAAUUUUGAGCAUAGAAUAAAAGAAUGUGUUAACAAGGGAAGAACGUUUUGGUGAAGGCAUGGAAAGGUUAGAGUAUAUUCAACUUUCUGAAUAUAUGACUUUUAAGCAAUUUUAUUCAAUCAAUGCUACAACAUACAUUAUUGAAUAUAUUUGAGUUGACAUGACUUUUGGACUGCUUCUUCUUCUACCAUCAUAGUUUCUUCAAAGCUUCUUCCUACCUUCAAUCUCAUAAUUCUUAAAAUAUCAAAAAUAUAUUUUAUUUUAUUAAUGUUUUUUUUUAAAUAAUAUCAAUCUCAUUCUUUAAAAUAUCAAAAAUAUGUUAUAUUUUAUUAAAAUAUUUAAUUUCUAAAUAAUAAUUUGAAAAAACUCUGAAUUAUAGAAUUUAUAAAAUAUUUUUAAAUAUCCCGGUCUGGUUACUUGUUAAGGUAUUUUUCAUGGAAGUAUAGGGAAAUUUAUUGAAACUUUCUCUGCGUUUCUUGAAGUUCAGACUGCUCUGGUUGCUGAGUUUUAUGGGGUUAUACAUGCUAUGGAGAAAACUCAAAAGAUGGGGCUUUCUAAUGUCUGACUAGAAUGUGAUUUUGCUUUGGUUUGUGUUGCGUUUAUGGUUAUGACCAAUGUUCUUUGGAUGUUUCGUAAUCGAUGAAAUACUUGUCUUAAUUACUGUGGAAAAAUCAGAUUUAGGGUUACUCAUAUUUUUCGUGAAAGGAAUGCGUGUGUUGAUAAGUUGACAAUAUAAUUUAUUCAUAGAGAAUUUUUUCAUUGGUAUAAUACAUCUAGUAUAUUCUUAGAAUUAUUUAUGAAUAUGUAUCGUUUUUGUUAAUAUAUGCGUUUUGAUCUAAUUUAUCAUAUUUUCUUUCUUUUUCUUUUUUAAUAAUAUUUUUUUCAUGUGAUGAAAAAUAAUUGUUGUUACUUAGUGUAAGCAUAACUGAUAUAUGUCUAAGUUGCAUAAUGAUUACGAAAAAAUACAUUAAACAUGAAAGGUUUUAUUUUAAAAAAAAAACUUUCAUAAUUCUAUAAACUAAAAUGUGUUUUUUUUAAAAGAAUAUUCCAAAUUAUUAAAUAUGAAAGGUAUUUUUAAAUUAAAAAAUACAUUUUAAAUUCCAUAAUCUUGAAUUUGAAUUUAUUUUAUUUAAGAAAAAAUAUAUUCUGAAUUGUAGUCCAUAACUACAAUCCAGAUAUAUAAAUUAAAAAAAAAUUCAUUCAGAAAUUAUAAAAUCUAGAAAGUAUUUUUAUAUUUGAAAAUAUAUUUUAAAUUCUAUAAUUCAUAAUAUAUUUAAAAUAAAUAUUUUUGGAUUUCUUAUAAUCCAGAGUAAAUAAGAAAAAUUACAUUCUAAAUUAUAAAAUUUAGAAAAUACAUUCCAAAAAUUUUAAAAAUAAAAUAAUUUUUUCGUCUGAAAUAUAACAAUGUUAGAAGAAGCUAUGGAGGUUUAAGAAGAAAGAGUCUCAUCACCAUGUUUCAUGAAAAUUAUUAACCCAAUAAAAGAAGAGAAAGUUAUAAAGAUGUUUUAUAUUUGACACCACACAUUAAAGAUGAAAAAUUAAAUUUCUCACUCGAAAGACAUUUAUAGUCUCUUAUUAAAAAAUUAUAAAUUAAUUUAUACAUCAAUUAAUUUAAAUUUUAAAAAAAUGUUCUCCCAAAAAUAUUUAUAGAAAAUUUUGCCUAACAAAUUUCCAAUUGUAUAGAGAUUCAUCAUUUUCAAGUACUUUUUUAAGUAUUUGAAUGUUCACUCUUACCAAAAUAUGUAAAAAGAAGUUUCAAUAUCUUCUAAAGUACAUAAGAAAAUAGUUACAACCACAUCAUUGUUUUUUCUAGAACCUUAUGAAACAUUCUAAGGCUUUCCAAAAUAUUAAAGCAUUCUACAACCUCAAUAAAGUUUCUAAUUUAUACCUUAAAUAAUUUUAAUCUAUAGAAAAGCACUUUCUUGUCUUGUAAAAAUUCUAAAAGAAGUUUUAUAAAUUAACUAGUUUGUUACCAACACUGAAACAUAUACACUUGGCUUGCAACAUGCAAUAUAGGAUCACAAUAACCAGAAGUAUGAACAAGAUGACACAAUGUUUAGUUAGAAAUCCAAUACCAAUUUAAGUCAAAAUAAGAAUGAAAAAGUUAGACAUCAUAUAAAAAAAACAAAAAUUCUUUAUGAAUAGGUAUAGUCUAUCUAUGUAUCGUUUUUGUUAACAUAUGAGUUUUGGUCUAAUUUUCCAAUCUUUUUUAAUAAUAUUUUUUUUCAUGACAAAUGAUUAUUGUCACUUGAGGUGUCAACAUAGCUGAAAUGUCAAAUUACAUAAUAAUAACUAAAAUAAAAAUUUUUAUUUAAAAAAAAAACAAAAAAAAAUCAUAAAUUCAUUUGAGUUGAAAAAUGUCUAAUAUGUGUUACUAAAACUAGAGUAUAUCAUAAGUGAGGGAGGAACCAUUAUUGUUUCAAUUCAUCAACCACCUUUAACCUUUUAUUCACAAACUAAUUAGUUUAAAAUAUCAUCAUAUCACAUCAACCUUUUUAAAUCAAUACUUAAAAUGUUUUUAACAUUGACAUAUACAACCAGAAAUUAUAGGUGCUAAGUGUGUGUUCAUCACUGCCUGAAGAAAUUUGUGAGUGAUUUUCCAUCCAACUCUUUCUUGAAGAAUCUGGUCAUAAAUUCAUGGAAAGUGAAGUUCCUGUAAAGGGCGGGUUUCUCAGUUGAUGUUAACUCUGGCAAUGGUCCAAAGAGUCUCUCCCUGUCACUUGGGUUGAGGAAAACAGCUACUGAGACUCUAGCCUCAUUACAAUGAUUAGCUAACACUCGAUGAUGAGCACUCUUAUAUGCUUCGUUAGAAAUUAUCUGAAACACAAAAUAAUGAAUAUGAAAGAUCAGAAAAAGGGAUGUCAUAAAACAAUUCCUACAUAUAUAACCUGGUAGACCUUCAAAUUUAACCAAAGUUUUUCUUGAAGUUAUAAAUGGUUCUAAUAAUAUGUUUACAAAAUUAUAAAAGUCAAGUUGGUGCUAAGUUAACAAAUUAAUUUCAUAACCUUGCUUCAAAAUGUAAAAUUUAAUUAAAUUACUUUCCUUCUUUUUGUCUGUCAAAUGCAUUCUCUUCAAAAUUAAGAUCACUAAUAAUCUAUUAUUUUCAUUUUCAAAAAUAUUAUCUUAUCUUAAAAUAUCAUACCAUUUAUGUCUUGUGUGAGUAUCAUUAAUUUUGACUCUUAAACGAUACGAGAAUAAGCAAUGUGAAAAUAAUUAACAUAUAGCAAGGAGACCAUAAUAUUUUAAAGUAAAUAUUUUAAAUAAAUAAUCUUGAAAGGAUUAAAAAUAAUGUAAUUCUCAAAGUGUUUGUUUCAAAUUAUUGACCCACAUGAAAGAUACAUCAUGAUAAGCACAAAAAUUAAGUGACACAAGGGUUUAUUUAAUUAAACAAUUAUUAUUAUAUAUGAACAAAAUAAAAUAAAAUAUGAACCUGAAGGAAAUCUCCAAUGUUAAUAACCAAAGCUUGAGGCUGAGGCUUCACAUGGAUCCAACCCUGUGGGGUCUCAACCUGCAAGCCCCCAAUAUGGUCCUGCAGCAACACCGUAAGAGCCCCUGGAUCAGCAUGCGAAUUAAGACCCACCGUUAGAUCAGGCUGAGGGCAAAACGGGUAAUAAUGGCCCACCAUAAUUCUUCCUUCUCCCAAACCCAUCUCCCUGAACCUCUCCGCACCCAAUCCCAGCCCCUCACUCAGCAACUCAUACAACACACUCGAAACACGCACCACUUCCUUAUCCCACUCCACCACCUCUUCUCUGCACACCUCGGGAAUCUCGAUAGGAUCAACGGCUGUGGGCCCCAUUCUUAACUGCAAAAUAAAAUAAAAAAUUCAUAUUUAUUUUAUUUUUUAUUUUUUAUUUUUAUCGGCAAUGAAAAACGAAUUAAAUAUGAUUCAGAGUAGAGAGGUGUUCUUACUAAACAAACUUCAAAAUAUGCCUACUGAAUCCAGAUAAAAAUACUAUAGAAUCACUUAAUUAAGGUGCUCAAGCCAAGACAACAAUGAAAAUAUUUAUUUUAAUAUUAAUUUUAAUUAUAAAAUUCGUAUUAAUAUUUAAAAUAGUUAUUACUAAAUAUCGUAAAUUUAUUAUUUAUGGUGAAUUAUGAUCAGAAGGCUAUUCCCACCGAGAAAUUAAAAUUCAUGGUAUAUUUCAGUUUUGGUAGUAAUAAAAAAUAUUAAUCUUGCACAAAUUUUUAAUUCACUUUAAAUUUACAAAAAUAAAAAAAUCUCUUUAAUAUUAAUUAAUUGUAUAUUAAUAUUAAUUUUUUUAAUAGCAUAUGAUACCAAAGAUCAAGUAUUAGUUACCUGAAUUGUGUCACGCCAGCUGGCAGCUUUUGAUUGGAAGAGAUCCACGUUGGAAAUGUAAGAUACGCCCUUCCCCACCUCCCUACGGUACACCGGCACCCUGGCCUCCGCGGGCUGCUCGUGGAACGCCUUCACCGCCGCCAGAGUUCGCCGGAGUACCUGCUCCGGGACGCCGUGGUUGAUCACCUGGAAGAACCCCACCGUGCUGGCCGCCUGUCGAAUCUGCUCCACCACGGCGGCGCGCGACCCCUGCACGGCGGCCAGGUCUACCGUGGGAAUCUCCGGCGCUGAUUCGGAUUCGGACCCGCGCUUCAGCUCCGCUAAGGUUUCGGGCGGGUGAACGAAGAUAGGGGGGAUAGCCUUGAUUCCCGAAUCGACCAAACCUUUGACUCCGACCUUGGUUUCGUCGAAUUCCUUCACCGCUUUCGCGCGGUCGUAU
rnacentral:lncRNA from 1 species